ACGCAAGAAUCAUGUGUAGUCCAGUGUCUUACGGCGACCAAUAUAAUGACGCUAUAGGUGAUCUUUUGCGGCGGCAAUAAUUUCGCCGCUGGAAAAUUGACCGCGAAAUGCAUUUGAAAUUUUUAAGGCAGGUCUUGAGUUUAUUACCGCGACAUUAAUGCGACGCAACAAAUAAUUUGCUUCAGCGUGUUAUCUGUUGCAGCGGAUGUUCUCGCCGUAAAAACAUGUGAAUUAUUUAAUCCCCUGUUUUCCCUCUCUCCCAGCCCGAUGCCCUACACAUCUGCAGCUGAAAAACACAAAGCCCCCGACGCCGCCUCUUCCCAGGCCGCUGCGUCACCGCCUCACCCAGCAGCACAGAUCAAACAACAUUGGAAAAUUGGGAGAUUCACCUUUAACUCUGGUUAAGAAUUUCUACAAUCCAUAAUCCUGCUGCCGCAACAAUUAGGUUAAUGAAGAUGGGCACCUUGAGAUUGAUCUGCGGACCCAGGCAUAUCAAGCCAAUCAUAUGAUCUCACAUGUAGCGAGCCAUAAAGAAGCUUGCUUAACACAGUCAUUCCAGGAUGAUUAUGAAGUGGUAUGAUAGAUCCAGGCGGCAUGCAGAAAAUUCCUAUCUGAGACAAAGCCCAGAAAUUUCCCGUACAAGUCACAAUCCAACUUUUAUUACAAAUACACAAUCCACUCAACCAGAGAUCAAGAACCAUGAAAAACUGGACAGGGCAAGAUGAGAGCUGAUGGGUGAAACUACGAUAGAUGGCAAACAUCUGGUUCUGGGGCAAAGGGAUACUGAUGGUUCCAUGACAGAAAGCACUCAAAUGUUGUCUGCUAGGGUACACUGUUUGCAUAUUUAUACAUAUUAUAGUUGCCUUGUAUUAAAUGUCCAAAAACUAUUGCCUCAUAUGUGCCUGAGUAGUAAGAAGUUGCUAAUUUGGGUAUAGAUGAUGUUUCCUUCCUGCUAUUAUAUGUAAUAGAGUGAUUGGUAAAUCACUGGUAGUGGAUGAAGAGAGAUCAAAUCUAUGGUACAUCAAAACUAUGACAGCUUUCAGUGCAUUGUUCUAUGGUUGGAAUAUAAAUGAUACCAUUGUAAUUAGUUGGAAGAUGCGUA